AUCACUCUAAUAGUUUAUCAAAAACAUUGGUCUUGUAAACCAAAGAAUGAAGACCUCACCUCUUC
rnacentral:tRNA from 1 species